UACGAAGGGUGCAAACGUUGCUCGGAAUCAUUGGGCGUAAAGCGCACGUAGGCGGCCCAGCAAGUUGGAUGUGAAAUCCCUCGGCUCAACCGAGGACGUGCAUCCAAAACUGCUGGGCUUGAGUACUGAAGAGGAUCGCGGAAUUCCCGGUGUAGAGGUGAAAUUCGUAGAUAUCGAGAGGAACACCGGUGGCGAAGGCGGCCAACUGGACGAAUACUGACGCUGAGACACGAAAGCGUGGGGAGCAAACAGG
rnacentral:rRNA from 1 species